rnacentral:rRNA from 1 species
UACGUAGGGUGCAAGCGUUAUCCGGAAUUAUUGGGCGUAAAGAGCUCGUAGGCGGUUUGUCGCGUCUGCCGUGAAAGUCCGGGGCUCAACUCCGGAUCUGCGGUGGGUACGGGCAGACUAGAGUGCAGUAGGGGAGACUGGAAUUCCUGGUGUAGCGGUGAAAUGCGCAGAUAUCAGGAGGAACACCGGUGGCGAAGGCGGGUCUCUGGGCCGAUACUGACGCUGAGGAGCGAAAGCGUGGGGAGCGAACAGG